AGCGGCGUGGCCCAGCGGAUAGAGCGUGGUCCUGGGAGUUGGAAGGACCUGGGUUCUAAUCCCAGCUCCGCCA
rnacentral:tRNA from 1 species